rnacentral:rRNA from 1 species
AAUCAACGCUGGCGGCGUGCCUAACACAUGCAAGUCGAACGAGAAGGUGACUUCGGUCACUGGAUAGUGGCGUCCGAGUGAGUAACACGUAGGUAAUCUACCUUCGGGUGGGGAAUAACGUCUCGAAAGAGACGCUAAUACCGCAUAAUGCAGCGGCACCUAAUGGUGAUUAGUUGUUAAAGCGGGGGAUCUUCGGACCUCGCGCCUGAAGAGGAGCCUGCGGCAGANAGCUAGUUGGUGAGGUAAUGGCUCACCAAGGCUUCGAUCUGUAGCUGGUCUGAGAGGACGGCCAGCCACACUGGCACUGACACACGGGCCAGACUCCUACGGGAGGCAGCAGUGGGGUAAUUUGGGCAAUGGGCGAAAGCCUGACCCAGCAACGCCGCGUGAAGGAGGAAAUCC